UACGUAGGGCGCAAGCGUUGUCCGGAAUUAUUGGGCGUAAAGAGCUCGUAGGCGGCCAGUUGCGUCCGCUGUGAAAUCCCGGGGCUUAACCCCGGGCGUGCAGUGGAUACGGGCUGGCUAGAGGCAGGCAGGGGAGAACGGAAUUCCCGGUGUAGCGGUGAAAUGCGCAGAUAUCGGGAGGAACACCGGUGGCGAAGGCGGUUCUCUGGGCCUUACCUGACGCUGAGGAGCGAAAGCGUGGGGAGCGGACAGG
rnacentral:rRNA from 1 species